GACGAACGCUGGCGGCGUGCUUAACACAUGCAAGUCGAACGGAAAGGCCCUGCUUUUGUGGGGUGCUCGAGUGGCGAACGGGUGAGUAACACGUGAGUAACCUGCCCUUGACUUUGGGAUAACUUCAGGAAACUGGGGCUAAUACCGGAUAGGAGCUCCUGCUGCAUGGUGGGGGUUGGAAAGCUUCGGCGGUUGGGGAUGGACUCGCGGCUUAUCAGCUUGUUGGUGGGGUAGUGGCUUACCAAGGCUUUGACGGGUAGCCGGCCUGAGAGGGUGGCCGGCCACAUUGGGACUGAGAUACGGCCCAGACUCCUACGGGAGGCAGCAGUGGGGAAUAUUGCACAAUGGGCGGAAGCCUGAUGCAGCAACGCCGCGUGCGGGAUGACGGCCUUCGGGUUGUAAACCGCUUUCGCCUGUGACGAAGCGUGAGUGACGGUAAUGGGUAAAGAAGCACCGGCUAACUACGUG
rnacentral:rRNA from 1 species